AGUGAACGCUGGCGGUAGGCCUAACACAUGCAAGUCGAACGGCAGCACAGUAAGAGCUUGCUCUUACGGGUGGCGAGUGGCGGACGGGUGAGGAAUACAUCGGAAUCUACUUUUUCGUGGGGGAUAACGUAGGGAAACUUACGCUAAUACCGCAUACGACCUACGGGUGAAAGCAGGGGAUCUUCGGACCUUGCGCGAUUGAAUGAGCCGAUGUCGGAUUAGCUAGUUGGCGGGGUAAAGGCCCACCAAGGCGACGAUCCGUAGCUGGUCUGAGAGGAUGAUCAGCCACACUGGAACUGAGACAAGGUCCAGACUCCUACGGGAGGCAGCAGUGGGGAAUAUUGGACAAUGGGCGCAAGCCUGAUCCAGCCAUACCGCGUGGGUGAAGAAGGCCUUCGGGUUGUAAAGCCCUUCUGUUGGGAAAGAAAAGCAGCAGGUUAAUACCCCGCUGUUCUGACGGUACCCAAAGAAUAAGCACCGGCUAACUUCGUG
rnacentral:rRNA from 1 species